GGUGAAACCAGUGUGUGUGACCUCCUAGGCUGUAAACUCAGAAUGUUUUCCCUGUACUUCCCACGCUGCCCACAUGGGGAAUGUAGAAAACAAGCUGUGCCAUUACCCACCUCUGUACUGGCUUCUCCUGACACUUCUGGGAGCCCAUGUGCCUUGGUGAGGGAAGAGAUGGUCUUAGCCUGGGGGAGCAGUAGAGAUGGCCUGGCAGCCUGUCAAUAUAUGGAGACAAAUGACAACAGAAGAAUAGGUUAAGGUAUGACGCACCUGGGUGAAAGUUGUGUUAAAACCUCUCUGGUACAGAGCAUCCCACCUCGACAAUAGCCAGUGAAAUUGCAGAGUGCCAAAUUCAACAUACAAGUAUUAUACACCGUUUUAAAGAUACACUUCUUGUAAAUCCAACCACAGUGUCCGAUUUCAAAAAGGCUUUACUGCGAAUGCACACCAUGCGAUUAUGUUAGGUCAGCACCUAGUCACAGAAA
ensembl:lncRNA